UUGACCUCGGAUCAGGUAGGGAUACCCGCUGAACUUAAGCAUAUCAAUAAGCGGAGGAAAAGAAACCAACCGGGAUUGCCUCAGUAACGGCGAGUGAAGCGGCAAGAGCUCAAAUUUGAAAGCUGGCUCCUUCGGGGUCCGCAUUGUAAUUUGCAGAGGAUGCUUCGGGUGCGGCCC
rnacentral:rRNA from 1 species